GACGAACGCUGGCGGCGGGCUUAACACAUGCAAGUCGAACGGAAAGGCCCUGCUUUUGUGGGGUGCUCGAGUGGCGAACGGGUGAGUAACCCGUGAGUAACCUGCCCUUGACUUUGGGAUAACUUCAGGAGACUGGGGCUAAUACCGGAUAGGAGCUCCUGCUGCUGGGGGGGGGUUGGAAAGUUUGGGCGGUUGUGAAUCGACUCGCGGGUUAUCAGCUUGUUGGUGGGGUACUGGCUUACCAAGGCUUUGGUGGGUAGCCGGCCUGGGUGGGUGAUCGGCCACCUUAGGCCUGAGAUAGGGCCCAGACUCCUACGGGAGGCAGCAGUGGGGAAUAUGGCACAAUGGGCGGAAGCCUGAUGCAGCAACGCCGCGUGCGGGAUGACGGCCUUCGGGUUGUAAACCGCUUUCGCCUGUGACGAAGCGUGAGUGACGGUAAUGGGUAAAGAAGCACCGGCUAACUACGUG
rnacentral:rRNA from 1 species